GGAUGCGCGCUACUUAAGGUCCUGCUGCGUGAGCCAUUGACGUGUUUGGAGCUGGAGACGGCCUGGGUGCUGGCGAAGCGGAGGCCGGAGUUAAUACACGAGGAACUCAUGCAAAGGAGGGGACUUUCGGAAAUCCAAACUUAGAGUGCCUUGUAUUUAGAAUCCGGAAGGAAAAGGAAAUGAAAUGUGAAGAAACUCAUGCACCAAACUCGAACUGGGUAUAUGUGAUGUUACCUAGUAAGAAGACUGUUAGAAUGCCCUCGGUAACACAGAGGCUGAGAGAUCCUGACAUAAAUCCUUGUUUGUCGAUCCUGUUCUACCUUUUAAAUGAUGCCUCUCUUAUAUCUGUAAGGAAUCUGAUGCUUCCACCAGAUGUCUGGAUGAAAAUAACUAUGACAGGGAAAGGUGUUCCACUUACUUCUUGAGGUACAAAAACUGCCGGAGAUUCUGGGUAAGCCUAGAUUGGUUAGCUUUGUGUUAAAACCCAUCUCCUAGGGUUGAAACUGAAGCCUAAAAUUAGUCAGUACCCACAAUCCUUUCCCACUGAUGGCUGUAGGGAAACUUAACUUUUCAACUUUAUCCUCUGUGUGCUACUUUAGCCGUGAAAGAUCCUUGAGAGCUCUUGUUAGCUGCCUCGUCGUCCUCUAAGCUAUAAGAAUGCAGUUUUAAUAUAGAAUUCUAUCGUGAUGCAGAGACGAAAGAACGGAGUGAAGCCAUUUAUGCCUACGGCAGCAGAAAGAGAUGAAAUCUUGAGAGCAGUGGGAAAUAGGCCCUAUUGAAUGUUUGCAUUAAAAGUGUUUAUAUAACUUAGAAGCAGAUGAAUAUUUCUAAUAAAUGAUUGCUGUAAUAUUUAAGACUGUACACCCCUCACCCAGACAGACCUUAAGUUCUUCAAGUGGAGACAGUGAAGUCACCCCGUGUCCUUUUUGCUUGCUCUCAGUGCCAUGCCGAUGGUAUGUUGCUGCUGGCUAUGCUGUGGCAUGAGUUUGCAUGACUUUCUGGAGGCAUGGAGUUAGGUAAGGCUACAUGAGAAAUUGAGCUUUUCCACUGGGUUUUGAAAGAAGAGUAUGAUGUGAACAAAUAAAGACUGAAUGGGGCUGAGAUGAAGGCAAUGUUUCCAAGGAAAGGAAAUGUUAUGAGCAAGAGUGUGAGGCAAGAGAAGCUGGAACCACAUUCAGAGAGUAUCCUGUAGAUUGCUCCACCUAGAAUCUCAGGUGGGUGGAGCAGUGGUGGGAGAAGACUGGAAAGGUAAGUUGAAGGUAAGGAAUGUGUGGCGGGCCUCAGAUCCCAGGCUCAUUCCUCAAAUCACUUCUUACUUCCCUCACUUAUCUUUGUUUAAAUAAGGUUAGUACAUUCACUAGGGGCAAAUGGGUUUUUCUAAAUAAAUGACAUAAAAAAGAACUGGUUGUCUUUCUUUAAAGAAAGUCUUAGUUACAGGAUUCUGUGAUUAAAAUCCUUAAAUAUUGGGUAGCCUUCUGCAGCUGUAGUAUCAGUUUUUGAACCACAGUAAUGGGAAGAAAGACAAAUGGAUUCCCUUAGAAGUAAGAUUUCUAUUUGCAGGAUGAGUUGGGCAGGGAAAAGGGUCAGGGUUCAUCAGGCGAACUCAACACUGGGAUGAGACUAGAACUUCACUUUAUGAUAUAAACACAAUAUGAUUUUUCAGUGUGGUGACUGGGGUAGAUUGUGAAGCAGCCCUCCUUAUGCCCACUGCCUUUUAGAAUCGUUUGUUUCAUUCAUGGUAGUUUUAUGAAGACAUACUAUUAUUGAAUGAAAUUUAAUGUGUACUUGAAAACAUUGCUUUUGUCCCUUCUCUUCAUCUGGUCUUGGGUCAAGAACAUUGUUUUAAUGGCUGCCGACAAUGAACUGUCUGUCUGAGUCUAAAACCAAGCUCAGGUUUCUAAGCCACAUGACCUUGAUUGUUAAAUGUAGUUAUAUUUGAGUAAAAAGUGGAUCAUGUCCAAAAUUCUUUUGAUUUGUAUUGACUGCUAUAAAAAUGAUGGAUUAAAAUAGGACCAGAAAAGAA